AAAGAAUUGAUGAAGACAGAUGAAGAAAGUCUGCAGCCUCUCAUCCAUGAGACAGUUUGGAUUCCUCAAAGUUGCAGUGUGGAGGGACGAGACGUUGGGAGAAAUAGAUGGAUUGGCUAUUAAGAGUGGUAUGGGAAAAAGGAGACGUGGAUAGAGUGGUAGAGAAAUGGAUGGCUAGAUGUAAAAGAGAUAGAGAGUGAGAACGGGAAGUGGAAUAAACAUAUACAUUGCUAUUAAACAGU